rnacentral:tRNA from 1 species
AUGGCUAUAGCUCAGUGACACAGCGCCUGCCUGGCAAGUGCGAGGUCCUGAGUUCAAUUCUCAGUACUCAAA